rnacentral:rRNA from 1 species
UACGUAGGGUGCAAGCGUUAAUCGGAAUUACUGGGCGUAAAGCGUGCGCAGGCGGUUCUUUAAGACAGACGUGAAAUCCCCGGGCUCAACCUGGGAACUGCAUUUGUGACUGUAGAGCUGGAGUGCGGCAGAGGGGGAUGGAAUUCCGCGUGUAGCAGUGAAAUGCGUAGAUAUGCGGAGGAACACCGAUGGCGAAGGCAAUCCCCUGGGCCUGCACUGACGCUCAUGCACGAAAGCGUGGGGAGCAAACAGG